rnacentral:ncRNA from 1 species
AUCGGGGGUGCCGAAAGGCUGAGACGGAGAAAUCCGAACCCUUAUGACCUGAUACGGAUCAUGCCGUCGUAGGGAGAUUGCAA